UACGUAGGUGACCAGCGUUGUCCGGAUUUACUGGGCGUAAAGAGCGCGCAGGCGGUCGUUCAAGUCGCGUGUGAAAGCCCCCGGCUCAACUGGGGAGGGUCACUCGAUACUGAUCGACUUGAAGGCAGGAGAGGGAAGCGGAAUUCCCGGUGUAGUGGUGAAAUGCGUAGAUAUCGGGAGGAACACCAGUGGCGAAGGCGGCUUCCUGGCCUGUUCUUGACGCUGAGGCGCGAAAGCUAGGGGAGCAAACGGG
rnacentral:rRNA from 1 species